UUGAACACAUUCAUUUUUAGGUUUACUUCUCAAAUAACAACAAGGUUCUUUUGUACCUGAAAUACCACCUGAGAGAAUCAUAUCUUUUAAACAAAGACAUAAAAGAAUAGUAUCUUGUGCUGCAAAAAUACCCUCGCUUUAUAUCCCAAGACUUUUCUCAUAAUUUGAAUCAACCCAGAAAUGAAUAUAGCUUCCUUUGCAUCUACAUUCAUCCAAAUCCAACAGCCUAACCAAAUCCUCUUGUUCCCUUGUGCCCAAAUCUCUGGAAAAAAAAUAAAAAAGCACUUGCAUUCACUCUGCCAAACUGCUUGUGUCAUCAUUCUUUAUAAAUAUGGUUUAUAAAACUGAAAAUGUAGCAUCACUUGUUUAAUAUAAUUGUUUAUUAAGAUAUGAUAAGCUAGCUAAUUAACCCAAUUACAUGUUGGUGGGUGUUGGAUCAUAUUUAAUUAAGGCUUGGCCAUGGAGUCAAUAGCACAAAUGAGAACUUGGCUUGAAGAAGGGAUAUUGGGAAAUCUCCAAGGUGCAAUUUCAGCAUAGAGAUUAUAAGGAUUCUGAUACUUCAAAGCCACAAUCUUAUCCCUUAUGCAAAGUGCAAAAUCAUCUUCCUCUUUCUAGUUUUUUAUAUUUUAUUAGGAUUAUCACUACUUUUUGGGGAUGAGGAGGAUCCCACUCUCCACUUAAUUUACCUGCUGCUGCACUUUUCUCCCACCACUUAACUGGACCUGUUCUUCUUUCUUAUUCCUCAUUCCAAUAUCCAUAUAUAGACUAGAUACCACACUCUCUUCUUCCAUGUCUUAUUUAAUUUCUCUGAUGACACCAACUACACUUUUCAAUUUCAUCAAGCUUGUUCCAGCAAUUUGGUUAAAUGAGAGAGAGAGAGAGAGAGAGAGAGAGAGAGAGAGAGAGCUCCUACAAGUUUGGGAGGAAAUUUCAUUUUGUCCUUGCCCUGCAACCAGAUUUUGAAAAAGUGGAGCAAAAUAGCUUGCCAGAGUUCUUCAGAGCAUGCAGGAAUAUUGCUACAUAUAUCUAGCUUGGUUGGAAAAGCUUCUGCUCCAGGACGAUACAGCCUCUGCAACCGUGAGAAAAAUCCUGUCUUCGCCGAUCAAGUUUGCGACAUGGGAUGCAUGAAUCUUAUCAAUCACCACUGGACCAGGAUUUGCAAGAACAAGCUGCAGGGCAAUUUGGAGAUACAAAGAUUACACCAAAGAAGGCUCCCAUGCAAGCCACAAAAUCAAAUUUAUCAAUCUUCCAUAUAAGGAUUGCUGCUUGGAAGUCGAUUAGGU